rnacentral:rRNA from 1 species
AUUGAACGCUGGCGGCAAGCCUAACACAUGCAAGUCGAACGAGUGGCGGACGGGUGAGUAAUGUCUGGGAAACUGCCUGAUGGAGGGGGAUAACUACUGGAAACGGUAGCUAAUACCGCAUACCAUCGGAUGUGCCCAGAUGGGAUUAGCUAGUAGGUGGGGUAAAGGCUCACCUAGGCGACGAUCCCUAGCUGGUCUGAGCGGAUGACCAGCUGAACUGGAACAGAGACACGGACCAGAGGCCGAGGGGAGGAAGGAGUGGGGAAGAUGGCAAAAUGGGCGCAAGCCUGAUGCAGCCAUGCCGCGAGUAUGAAGAAGGCCUGCGGGUUGUAAAGUACUUUCAGCGUGGAGGCGUUACCCGCAGAAGAAGCACCGGCUAACUCCGUGCCAGCAGCCGCGGUAAUUC